GACGAACGCUGGCGGCGUGCUUAACACAUGCAAGUCGAACGGAAAGGCCCUGCUUUUGUGGGUUGCUCGAGUGGCGAACGGGUGAGUAACACGUGAGUAACCUGCCCUUGACUUUGGGAUAACUUCAGGAAACUGGGGCUAAUACCGGAUAGGAGCUCCUGCUGCAUGGUGGGGGUUGGAAAGUUUCGGCGGUUGGGGAUGGACUCGCGGCUUAUCAGCUUGUUGGUGGGGUAGUGGCUUACCAAGGCUUUGACGGGUAGCCGGCCUGAGAGGGUGACCGGCCACAUUGGGACUGAGAUACGGCCCAGACUCCUACGGGAGGCAGCAGUGGGGAAUAUUGCACAAUGGGCGGAAGCCUGAUGCAGAAACGCCGCGUGCGGGAUGACGGCCUUCGGGUUGUAAACCGCUUUCGCCUGUGACGAAGCGUGAGUGACGGUAAUGGGUAAAGAAGCACCGGCUAACUACGUG
rnacentral:rRNA from 1 species